CACUUCUCAGGGUUGCACCUGGCGAGUUUCCAGUACUCGACCAGUCUUGACUAUGGGAGGGAGAGUCAGGCAGAGGCCUAUCCAUUCCAUUCCUAGCUUGGGCAGCGGCUAGCGAGUGGAAGGCCAUCUGCUACAAGU
rnacentral:snoRNA from 1 species